rnacentral:lncRNA from 1 species
UGUCAUUAAUAGUGCAUUGAUAUCAACAUUUUUAAUGGUUGUAUAUCGUCCAAUUGUAUGAGUGGCUAUAUGGGUCCCAAAUUGUUGGGUAGGCAUUUAUUUAUUUGCUAUUUAAUGAAAACACUAGGGUGAACUUCUGUGCAUGCACAUUUUGGGGACACUUGUCUAACUAUCUCCUUGGUACGGGGUCCUAGAAGGAGAACUUGCUGGUCACAGGUUAAAUGGGUCCUGAGUUGACCUACGGACAGAUUGUACCUGUGGACACUCCAUGCUGAUUUUCCAAGGGCACCUAAUCAAAAGCUUUAGAUGACUCCAGUUAUAUUUGGCAGGAGACAUCAGACGACUGCCCUCCACUAAAAUCUGGGCAGUCUAAAUGAACAUUUUGCAAAGGGGCAGGAGGGAAAAGAGGAAGCAGAAAAGAGGUGUCCACUUUUUUCUGAUCUCCCAUCUGCUGCUGGGACAAGCCAUGUGCUCUGAGCAGCUAGCUAAAACGAAACUUGACGAUCAUCUGGGGCUACUUUUAGGCCCACAAAACAAGGCUGACUUGGGGUAGAGUGCCGGUGUGAGUACUAGUGGCUUCUGGGGCUGAGUAACAGGGUGCUCCCUAUCUCAAAUCCAGUUUCCUCUGUCUGCAACCGAUGUAAGUAAAUUCAGAUGCACAAUGAGCGCUGUCUCAGGCUCCCCCAGCCAGGCCUGAUUCAAUGAGCAGGGCUCCAGCCUGGAGUCGGGGCGCUGAACAAAGCCCACGAUGACAGCAGAGGUCAGGCGGUGUCACCAAGGCCACUCAGCUGCUCUCCAUCAGCCUCCGGAGCAGGGGCCCAGGUCCUGUCAUCUGACUAAUGCAAUUUCCACCAGGCAUCUGGGCAGCACCCGAGGCUCUGGCAGUCACAAUGAGUCCAGUCUUUUCUGCCAAAUGAAGCUGGUCUGUAGGCCACCGAGCCUUUGCCCACUACCCUCCCAGGAUUGGCUGCUCUCUCUGGCGGCUCUGGAAGAUGAGCCCCAGUCACACUUUUGGAAAAUGGUUGAUGAUCAAAAUCAGAGGCAGGGGGAGCAAACAGGAGAGAGGUUUAGAGCUGUCAGCUUGAACCAUAGCUGGAAGCUGGAUGAGGGGGCAUGUGUUCCAGUAAUGCACUAACCUUGUUUGAGUAGACAACAUCCCAUAAUACACUGGGAGGAGUAGCAGUCGUACAAAGGUUCUGAUUUGCAAUACGGUGGGAUGAGGAGAGGAGAGCGAUAUUUAAGCAGAAAAAUCUGGCCAUGUUGCUGGGAGACCUCCCACACAGGCAAAAUCCUGCACUUGGGUGGGGCAGCGCUUUGGUUUCUGUUCACUAUUUUCUUGCUGUAAAUAUAACCAGCCUUGCUCCUACUUUACGGAGCCAGUUGAAACACAGCUUUCUUCCCAUCUCCCUGUCACUGCUUUCCUCCUGUCCCAAUUGAGCAAAACAGUAGAUUGUAGGGAAUUUAUCUGAUCCCCAUGACAAUCUGCUUGUAAAUUUUAUUAAUUUUAUUUUCCAUUGAGCUUCCCUUCUCCGGCUAACAAUACUGCUGCCAUCCAUCUGCAGGACUGUAUAUUGAUUUCAUAAAUACCUCCAGUGGGCUGACAAACUGACAGCUUCAAUGGUGUUACUGAUGGGGCGUGGAGGAGGGUUCAGGGCUGGGCGCUUCAUUUUCGGUAACAGUCCCUUCACAAUUAUCGCAGGGCCUUUGUGAGAGUUCCUAAUAGUGUGUUUAUCUCUACGUGGUGCCAGAGCAUGGAGCUAUCAUUAAGUACUAUCCUCGAGAGAGACAAGAGCCACCAUUUUCCACUGACACUUAAAUAAAAAUAACAAAAUCUAUCCACGAUGCCCAAGAGCCUAGCGCUGGCCAAUUUCCUGUUGGGGUUUUAGUGUCUCCCCUUUCACGAGGGAAGCAGCUCAGGGCUGAGGAGGGCAGACAUGCUCAGAAGUGACCUGAGAAGGGGAUUUUUGUUUUUCUAAACACUAGAAGAAAGGCAUGAGAUUGGAGUAGGGUGCAGGAGUGGGAGGUGUGCAGUAUUUUUCUGGGUGUUCCAAAGAUUGCAAACUCAGAUGCUUCAGGGUUGUGCAGGUAAAGUAAAUGAGGAAGUCGGGCUGCAUGUGGACAACAGGAAUAGUCAGAAAGCGAGCUGGGGAUGUUAUUUCAACAAAAUCAAAACCAAAUAACUCUCUGUGCCAGCCAAUUGGAUGCUUCACCCUGGGAAGAACUUGGCCUGCAGGCUCAGAUUUGUGACCAGUGAGGAUGCAGAGACUGUCACCUCCUCAGGGGCGAUCUGCUAAUUCUAGAAUGGCGCUGUCCCACGGAAAUAUAUCACAAGCCAAGAAUGCAAUUUAAAAUUUUCUAUUAGCCAUAUUAAAAACAGUAAAAAGAAACAGUUGAAAUUAAUUUUAAUAUGAUAUUUAACUCAAUAUAUCCAAAAGAUUGCCAUUUCAAGAUGUAAUCAAUAUAAACAUUUAUUAAUGA